CCUACGGGAUGCUGCAGUGAGGAAUAUUGGUCAAUGGACGCAAGUCUGAACCAGCCAUGCCGCGUGAAGGCUGACGGCCCUAUGGGUUGUAAACUUCUUUUAUACGAGGGUAAACGGAGACACGCGUGCCUUUUUGUAUGUACUUUAUGAAUAAGGAUCGGCUACCUCCGUGCCAGCAGCCGCGGUAAUACGGAGGAUCCAAGCGUUAUCCGGAUUUAUUGGGUUUAAAGGGUGCGUAGGUGGUCGGAUAAGUUAGAGGUGAAAUUCCGCGGCUCAACAUCGGAAUUGCAUCUGAUACUGGUCGGCUAGAGUGUAGUUGCGGUAGGCGGAAUGUGUGGUGUAGCGGUGAAAUGCUUAGAGAUCAUACAGAACACCGAUUGCGAAGGCAGCUUACCAAGCUACUACUGACGUUGAUGCACGAAAGCGUGGGGAGCAAACAGGAUUAGAUACCCCUGUAGUC
rnacentral:rRNA from 1 species